rnacentral:rRNA from 1 species
AUUGAACGCUGACGGCAUGCUUUACACAUGCAGGUCGAACGGUAACAGGGUGCUUGCACCGCUGACGAGUGGCGAACGGGUGAGUAAUGCGUCGGAACGUGCCGAGUAGUGGGGGAUAACGCAGCGAAAGUUGUGCUAAUACCGCAUACGUACUGAGGUAGAAAGUGGGGGACCUUCGGGCCUCACGCUAUACGAGCGGCCGACGUCUGAUUAGCUAGUAGGUGAGGUAAAGGCUCACCUAGGCGACGAUCAGUAGCGGGUCUGAGAGGAUGAUCGGCCACACUGGGACUGAGAGACGGCCAAGACUCCUACGGGAGGCAGCAGUGGGGUAUUUUGGACAAUGUGCGGAAGCCUGAUCCAGCCCUGCCGCGUGUCUGAAGAAGGCCUUCGGGUUGUAAAGGACUUUUGUCAGGGAGGAAAUCCCUAGUGCUAAUAACACUGGGGGAUGACAGUACCUGAAGAAUAAGCACCGGCUAACUACGUGCCAGCAGCCGCGGUAA